UACGUAGGGGGCAAGCGUUGUCCGGAAUUAUUGGGCGUAAAGCGCGCGCAGGCGGCUCGUUAAGUCUGGUGUUUAAACCUGGGGCUCAACCUCGGGUCGCAUCGGAAACUGGCGAGCUGGAGUGUAGGAGAGGGAAGUGGAAUUCCACGUGUAGCGGUGAAAUGCGUAGAGAUGUGGAGGAACACCAGUGGCGAAGGCGACUUCCUGGCCUAUAACUGACGCUGAGGCGCGAAAGCGUGGGGAGCAAACAGG
rnacentral:rRNA from 1 species